rnacentral:rRNA from 1 species
GAACGAGCAAUGCCGCGUGAGUGAAGAAGGUCUUCGGAUCGUAAAGCUCUGUUGUAAGAGAAAAACGGAUCAUGUAGGGAAUGACAUGAUAGUGAUGGUAUCUUACCAGAAAGCCACGGCUAACUACGUGCCAGCAGCCGCGGUAAUACGUAGGUGGCAAGCGUUAUCCGGAAUCAUUGGGCGUAAAGGGUGCGUAGGUGGCACGAUAAGUCUGAAGUAAAAGGCAACAGCUCAACUGUUGUAUGCUUUGGAAACUGUCGAGCUAGAGUGCAGAAGAGGGCGAUGGAAUUCCAUGUGUAGCGGUAAAAUGCGUAGAUAUAUGGAGGAACACCAGUGGCGAAGGCGGUCGCCUGGUCUGUAACUGACACUGAUGCACGAAAGCGUGGGGAGCAAAUAGGAUUAGAUACCCUAGUAGUCCACGCCGUAAACGAUGAGAACUAAGUGUUGGAGAGAUUCAGUGCUGCAGUUAACGCAAUAAGUUCUCCGCCUGGGGAGUAUGCACGCAAGUGUGAAACUCAAAGGAAUUGACGGGGGCCCGCACAAGCGGUGGAGUAUGUGGUUUAAUUCGAAGCAACGCGAAGAACCUUACCAGGCCUUGACAUGGAUAUAAAUGUUCUAGAGAUAGAAAGAUAGCUAUAUAUCACACAGGUGGUGCAUGGUUGUCGUCAGCUCGUGUCGUGAGAUGUUGGGUUAAGUCCCGCAACGAGCGCAACCCUUGUCUUCUGUUACCAGCAUUAAGUUGGGGACUCAGGAGAGACUGCCGGUGACAAACCGGAGGAAGGUGGGGAUGACGUCAAAUCAUCAUGCCCCUUAUGGCCUGGGCUACACACGUACUACAAUGGCGCCUACAAAGAGCAGCGACACCGCGAGGUGGAGCGAAUCUCAUAAAGGGCGUCUCAGUUCGGAUUGAAGUCUGCAACUCGACUUCAUGAAGUCGGAAUCGCUAGUAAUCGCAGAUCAGCAUGCUGCGGUGAAUACGUUCUCGGGCCUUGUACACACCGCCCGUCAAACCAUGGGAGUUGGUAAUACCCGAAGCCGGUGGCAUAACCGCAAGGAGUGAGCCGUCGAAGGUAGGACCGAUGACUGGGGUUAAGUCGUAACAAGGUAUCCCUACGGGAACGUGGGGAUG